AUGUACACCUUCAGCUAUAAAUUUGUACCAUCAUCUGACACACUAUUAACUCAGGUGCUGCCCAAGCCAGAGCACAUAAUAAAACAUUUGAAUACAAUUUCUUUAGAGACAUACGUCUCCCUUCUCCUUCUUUUCUCCUUUUCUCUCUUCUUUCCCUCCCCUCCUCUCCAUUCCCCUCCCCUCCUCUCUCCUCCUCUUUCCUCCCCUCUCCUAUUAAUGACAAGCAACAUGGAGAGAAGAAAGGAUAUGGUGGGAGCUUGAGGAAAUGCAGAUGUGACUCUGCGUCUCAGUUUUGCUGAGCUGCCCAAGGCUGGGAACCAGGCAAACGAUGCUGAGUACCCCCGAUCCCAGAGGAGACAUGUGAACAGCCAGUGGAGCUUCAGGAGACACAGGUGACAGCAGGUUUUGUGACCUUAGCUCAACACUCACCUCCAGAAGGGAUGGGAAAGAGGACAAUGGAAGAGUUCUCUUGGAGGGCAGGGUGGGGGUGCUGGGUGUGGUCUUCUCCCCUCACCUCCCGCUGAGCGAGACGCUUCCAACCCCGUGUUAGUGAAGGCUUUCUAGAGAGACAGAGCCAAGAGGAUGUAGAUACAUAGAGCUCUAUCUAUCUAGUUAGCUAAUCUAUUAAUUAUCUAUCAUCUGUCUACUUAUCUACAGAAAGAGAUAUAAAAGGAGAUUUAUUAUGGGAAUAGGCUCACGUGAUUAUGGAGGCUGAGAUACGCCACAGUAUAUUGGCCAGACACUGGAGACCCAGGAAACCUGGUGGUACAAUUUAGUUAGAGUCUGAAGGCCUGAGAACCAUGGUGCAGCUCCCAGACUGAGGUCGAAGGCCUCAGAUUUGUGGAACGGGUACUGGUGUAAGCCCUGGAAUCUGAAGGCCCAAGAACCAGGAGCUCUGAUGUCCAAGGGCAGGAGAAGAUGGGCAUCCCAGCUCAAGAAGAGAGCUUCAUCUGCGUUUUUGUUAUAUUCCAGCCCUCAAGGAAUUGGAUGCUGCCUGCCCACACCGGUGAUGGGGGGUCCUCCUUAUUCAGUCUACUGACUCAAAUGUUAAUCUCUUCUGGAAACACCCUCACAGACUUACCCAGAAAUAAUGUUUUACCAGCGAUUGGGGUCCCUUAACCCAGCCAAGUUGAUAUAUGAAAUAAGUCUUCACGGAGGGCUUGACAAGAGUGUCCCAAAGUUUGGGAAA
rnacentral:lncRNA from 1 species